rnacentral:piRNA from 1 species
UGAUCUUUAUGAAACAAAAAA